rnacentral:piRNA from 1 species
GUAAGUAAACUGGUAGAAAUUAGUAAGACA